GUGUCAGCAGCCGCGGUAAUACCGGCAGCACGAGUGAUGACCGCUAUUAUUGGGCCUAGAGCGUCCGUAGCUGGCCACGCAAGUUCGUCGGGAAAUCCACCCGCUUAACGGGUGGGCGUCCGGCGGAAACUGUGCGGCUUGGGACAGGAAGGCUCGAGGGGUACGUUCGGGGUAGGAGUGAAAUCCCGUAAUCCUGAACGGACCACCGAUGGCGAAAGCACCUCGAGAGGACUGAUCCGACAGUGAGGGACGAAAGCUGGGGUCUCGAACCGGAUUAGAAACCCCGGUAGUCC
rnacentral:rRNA from 1 species